rnacentral:rRNA from 1 species
GAUGAACGCUAGCUACAGGCUUAACACAUGCAAGUCGAGGGGCAGCAUGAUCAAAGCUUGCUUUGAUUGAUGGCGACCGGCGCACGGGUGAGUAACGCGUAUCCAACCUUCCCCAUAGUAGAGAAUAGCCCGGCGAAAGUCGGAUUAAUGCUCUAUGUUGUAUUUCGAUGACAUCUGAGGAAUACCAAAGGUUCACCGCUAUGGGAUGGGGAUGCGUCUGAUUAGCUUGCCGGCGGGGUAACGGCCCACCGGGGCAACGAUCAGUAGGGGUUCUGAAAGGAAGGUCCCCCACAUUGGUACUGAGACACGGACCAAACUCC